AGGAGAGGGCGUGCUACGGCGGUAUCUCCAAGGCGCUUUAACAUGUUUUAUUAUCAUUUUAUUGACAUGUAGAGUCAGUCUGAGCAGGAGGAAGGGAGUGAUUUGGCACAGGGGGUGCAGAUCGCUCGGCUGAGGCCUGUAUAAAAUCUUUAUUUCUUCCAUUUGUGCAUGAUACAGCGCGAUGGUAUGACUGUAAAGGGGAUGGGGCGGGUGUGUCUUUACCGAAGCAAACGUUUGGGCGUUAAUGUAAAUCCAGCAGGGGAAGGAGUUGGGUCUAUAUUACUGUAAGUCUGCUCGACUUGUCAAAGAAUACCGAGAAGUCAUUCCUCACUCUCGCGGAUGCGUUUGCGCCACAAUAACUCAGUCAUAAUUGAGUGCACGGGCACACUGACCCUGUAUAUUCUCAUUAAGAUAAGCUUUAACUCGAGAGGAGCGCAGAUAGAGUGAAUUCCUCAAGGCCCCACCCUUUGUAGCGCAACAUGGAUGUGGAGAGUUGCCCCCACCUUCUCCUCCUCCUCCUCCUCCUCCUCCUCCUCUCUGUCUCUCCCUCCGCGUCAUUCAUUUCCCCUUUCAAGCUUGUCUUAUGCUGUUUUUCCCCCCUCACUGUCUCCAGGUGCCUUCAGUAGAUCUGCUUGUCUUUUAACCAACUUUAGAUCAUGGCAUGGGGAUCUACUUCCAGGAAAUCUACAGGAGGUGUUAAUUGGUGGAGAUGUGCCACGCCUGUGCCACUAGACCUGGGUGGCCUGUACCUGUGCCUGCGCCAGCUGCUGUGCCAGCUGUGCAGGGUGAGCAAGCAGAACAGCAUCACAGAAAGAGACGAACAGACAGCUGCUGCAGAUGAAGAGACGGAGGAGCAGCAUCAAAGGAGCGCCGAGUCAACCUACAUGCCAUCAAUCAUAAUAUAUUUAUUAGCUUGGUUAUUUUGCAGCUUAUUAUCACGUCGCAAGCAUUUAAAUUUGGAAUUGAGGCUGUGUAAUUUGUUCUGCAGUCAUACGCUGAAGAUUUGUCUUACAGCUACUGAAAUUGUGUUUUGUCUUUAUCCAUUUUCAGCUUUUGUGACUCCUGAUUUUAGCUUAAUUUUUGAUCAAUAAAACAACUAAUCAUGAUCCUUUAACACAACAUUAAGAGUCCUGGAUCACCCUUCUAAAACUCUACAUUAAAGUAAGAGAAGGCAAAAGUCUACAAACAAUACACUGGCAAACAGUAAAUUUGAAUACUGUAUAUGUGCUCAUCUUGCCUUCGACGAGGAGUUCAGUUGUCUGGGGCUGAACUCCAGCACAUUAGUGUUCCAGGCUCCAGGCUUAUGGACUUAGCAAACACACUUCCUGUUGGAGACGUACAUUAUACAGCCAGGCGGAACAUAAACAAUAAUCUUCUUAAGGUGUGAGCUCUGUGAGCAGUAAUAGCAAGCCCUUACGAUAAAGCAAUUUACUGUAUCUAAAGAUGACAUUGCGACUAGUAAUGGGGGGGAUUGUAGUGCUUUUGCUCAAUCAAUUGGCACUUAACAUGGACUACAAUUAUCGCGAUAUUUUGUUGACUUUGGUUAAGAUUAAUUUCUGUCUACCUGCACGGAUACCAUACUGACCCUGCAUUCACGUGGGGUCGGAAUAAUUUGAAAAAAUUAGUUCCUGACUGGGAGAAUUUACGUUAACGCCCUGUCAAGUCAGAACAACUCAGAAAGUUGUGGAAAAUUUUCAUACAUGAGUUGAGAUAAAAGAUGAAAGUAAAUGUUGAGUUGAUGUUAAACUUAUUAUUAAUUCACAAACUGCAUGCAAUUUUUUGUUCAUGUAAUUUAUAAUAUGGUAUUAGCUUGUAAUUGUUAGUUGCUGUGCACAUAGAGUGACCUAAUUUCGUUAGAAAAGUUAUUUAUUAGCAUUAGUCAGAUAAAGCAAUAUUUGAGUAGUUUUAGAGGAUGUGCUGGUGUAGCAGAAGGUCUGGGACAAAAUUACUGUGUAAUAUAAAGCUUCAAAAUGUUAUUGUUUUUAAAUGAUUUGCAAUAAAAAAAACAGCACUUCUU